rnacentral:lncRNA from 1 species
GAGAGAGCCUAGACCUCGAUGCGGAGUCCCUGGACUCUUCAUGAGAGAAGCUGAAGUUCCGCUUCUAAGUAGCUGCCGUCAGGAAGGUACACAGGGACUCGGGAAAGAACAGUGGCAAAGUCCAAGAUUGCUGAUGGUGAAGACGAUUGGUGAGGAAGAUGGGGCCAGGGGUGAGAGGACAUCUGAGCUGAGGCUGUGCGUCAGGGGCAUGCUCCAGGGAAUUCAGUCCAGGGGCCUCUGCCCUUCUCACUGUGGAAUAGGACUAUGGCUUGGGCUCGAAAGCAAGCUGGGGAGAGUUGUGAGGCCAGCAGCUCAGUGAAGAGGGGAGCAGAGUGAAGUCAUCUGCAUCCUACUGCCUCCUCUUUUUUCUUCAAGUACCAGAUUCAAAUGGAAGGGAUCUCUGAGGAGGGGCACUCCUUGGGACCCGGGUGGAAUGAGGCCAGAG